AGCAGCCGCGGUAAUUCCAGCUCCAAUAGCGUAUAUUAAAGUUGUUGCAGUUAAAAAGCUCGUAGUUGAAUUUCGGGGCCAGUAGGUUGGUCGUGCCACUGGUAUGCACUGGCCUUACUGGUCCCUCCUUCUUGUAGAACCGUGAUGGCAUUAAUUUGUUGUUGCGGGGAAACAGGACUGUUACUUUGAAAAAAUUAGAGUGUUUAAAGCAGGCUCGCGCUUGAAUACAUUAGCAUGGAAUAAUGAAAUAGGACGUUUGAUCCUAUUUUGUUGGUUUCUAGGAUUGACGUAAUGAUUAAUAGGGAUAGUUGGGGGCAUUAGUAUUCAAUUGUCAGAGGUGAAAUUCUUGGAUUUAUUGAAGACUAACUACUGCGAAAGCAUUUGCCAAGGAUGUUUUCAUUAAUCAAGAACGAAGUUAGGGGAUCGAAGACGAUCAGAUACCGUCGUAGUCUUAACCAUAAACUAUGCCGACUAGGGAUCGGAUGAUGUUAAUUUUUUAAUGACUCAUUCGGCGCCUUAC
rnacentral:rRNA from 1 species